rnacentral:misc_RNA from 1 species
UCAAACUUGGUCAUUUAGAGGAAGUAAAAGUCGUAACAAGGUUUCCGUAGGUGAACCUGCGGAAGGAUCAUUAUAGAAAUAAUCCUUAGGGAACGAUGUGCUGGUCGGAGAAAACUUCCUUCAAUGUGCACUCGUUUCCGCCAUCGUGCACCUUUUGUAGGUGGAAGUGGGGCAACUCGCUUCCAUCUAUGCUUUUUUUAAACUCGAUAUUGUAUUGUUAUAUUUAAAAUAACAUUUAACAACUUUCAACAAUGGAUCUCUUGGCUCUCGCAUCGAUGAAGAACGCAGC